rnacentral:rRNA from 1 species
CAGUAGCCGCGGUAAUACGAAGGGGGCUAGCGUUGCUCGGAAUUACUGGGCGUAAAGGGUGCGUAGGCGGAUGUUUAAGUCAGAGGUGAAAGCCCAGGGCUCAACCUUGGAACUGCCUUUGAUACUGGACAUCUUGAGUGUGGGAGAGGUGAGUGGAACUCCGAGUGUAGAGGUGAAAUUCGUAGAUAUUCGGAAGAACACCAGUGGCGAAGGCGACUCACUGGCCCAUUACUGACGCUGAGGCGCGAAAGCGUGGGGAGCAAACAGGAUUAGAUACCCCUGUAGUCCCUGUCUCUUAUAC